ensembl:lncRNA
GCCGCCAACCCAGCGCCACAGCACAAGAUGGCCGCCAGCCCGGCGCCACAGCACAAGAUGGCCGCCAGUUCAGCACCACAGCACAAGAUGGCCGCCAGCCCAGCGCCACAGCACAAGAUGGCCGCCAGCCCAGCACCACAGCACGAGAUGACCACCAGCCCAGCACCACUGCACAGGAGGGUCGAAUCUACACCUGUGUUGGCAGACAAGAUGGUUGACUCAACGCCUGAGUCUUCCGUCAAGGAGCCACCGGCACGUCAUCAUAGAGGCCGCAGGAGGAGGAGACAGGCGUCAGCCGUUCCUCAAAGCCCGGAGGACGUUCCCGAGCAGGCCGCUGCCGUCCAGGAGGACGUUCCCGAGCAGGCCGCGGUCGUCCAGGUGGAGGUGUCCAAGGUUCCCGAGGCGGUGCCCGAUCCCGAG